GUAUCUCUGCGGCAUUCCCGGGACGUAAUCGAGCCGAGGGAACAACUCAAGUACGGGAGCCAGAGAACAGACGUGGUGAGCAUGCCCUGAGGCUUGAAGCCGAGGGGAAGCCCGAUCGUCCGUCGAGGCGCCCAUUUUGAACAAGCCUCCGUUGGCUCGAAAAAUCCCGUGGGUGCUGUGGAGAUUUU
rnacentral:other from 1 species